rnacentral:rRNA from 1 species
GACGUAGGGCGCGAGCGUUGUCCGGAUUUAUUGGGCGUAAAGAGCUCGUAGGCGGUUUGUCGCGUCGGGAGUGAAAUCCACUGGCUUAACUGGUGGCUUGCUUUCGAUACGGGCAGACUGGAGGUAUGCAGGGGAGAACGGAAUUCCUGGUGUAGCGGUGAAAUUCGUAGAUAUUAGGAAGAACACCAGUGGCGAAGGCGGCUCACUGGCCCGGUACUGACGCUGAGGCGCGAAAGCGUGGGGAGCAAACAGG